UGGGGAAUAUUGGACAAUGGGCGCAAGCCUGAUCCAGCCAUGCCGCGUGGAUGAAGAAGGCCCUAGGGUUGUAAAGUCCUUUCGACGGAGACGAUAAUGACGGUAUCCGUAGAAGAAGCCCCGGCUAAUUUCGUGCCAGCAGCCGCGGUAAUACGAAAGGGGCUAGCGUUGUUCGGAAUUACUGGGCGUAAAGCGCACGUAGGCGGUCGUGUAAGAUGGGGGUGAAAUCCCGGAGCUCAACUCCGGAACUGCCUUCAUGACUGCAUGGCUAGAGGAUGCGAGAGGUUGGCGGAAUUCCGAGUGUAGAGGUGAAAUUCGUAGAUAUUCGGAAGAACACCAGUGGCGAAGGCGGCCAACUGGCGCAUUUCUGACGCUGAGGUGCGAAAGCGUGGGGAGCAAACAGGAUUAGAUACCCUAGUAGUCCCUGAGCGGGCUGGCAAGGCGCAU
rnacentral:rRNA from 1 species